CUCCAACUGCUCAUCGGAGCAAGCUGCAGCCUGGACACAAGCUAGAGAUUAAUCAGUCAGGAAUGAUCCUGCGUCCAGUGCCAGCAUGAUGGAAGAGACAGAGAAACAGAAGACAUCAGGGCUCCAGAGUCAAGGAGCCUGCAGCCCUAGAACCAGCUUCUUCGUGGACAAGCUCUGACUCCUUUGGGUGGAGAAUGGUAUUCAGAAACCCAGACCUGGGCUCUGGUGUGCUCACUGCUACUUGGGGUCAUUGCUUCUAGGCCUCUCUGCUGAUGGAGCACUUCUGCAAUCACUCACUGACUUGCAGAGUGUGAAAAAACUGAGUCACCAUCACACGUUCCAAACUGAGGUCAACUGAGGCCACAACGCCCCAUCUUCUUGCUCCGGCUGUCGAGAUAGAAAGCUCUGCAAACUCAAGCUGGAGUGGGAUACUUGCUGACAUCUUCAAGCACCCCAGGAAUAGCUCUACUCCCCCAUUUCCACCUUGGCUGAACCAUCUAUAUCCCACCAAUUCCCCCAACAUCCCUCCAUCCGUCCAUCCAUCCACCCAAGGACCUGCUAAGCCAGGAGGUCUCUCCCAUCUACCCCACAGCCUGGCCUCAGCCCACAAGGGCUCUCUCUACAUGAA